AUGUCGAGUAUUGAAACUUUUGACAGUUGUUUAAUGCUUAAGAUUAUAUGUGCUGUGUCUGGUUUACAAGUUUCUCCUUACAAUGUGCGGAUAUAUUUUUGUGACACUGAACGGUUGAAACAAGAUGUCGAAGCAAUCAAACUGAAAGCAUCGAGUGAAGUGACAAAUGGGAAUAGUAAAGAUUCUCGUCGUCCUAGUGUAUUUGAUAGAUUAGGUUCAAGAUUUAAUUCAAGCACAGAAGGAAUUUGCAAGGCCUGGGUCCAAAAUGGCACCUGUCCCUACGAGAAGUCCUGCAAGUACUCAAAUUCCCAUAUUGUUCUAAGUUCUUUGAAAAGAAGCAGUCGAAGGACAUAGACUAUCAGGUAUUAUUUUCUUCUUGGCUAUCACCCAUUCGUCAAGUGUCUAAUUAUCAGGUUUAGUGAAUUGAAAUCGUUAAAUAAAACUAUUAGAAAACUUGUAGGUGUAGUCAUAUUUGACCUAAUAAUUGUGAUUGGGCCUGUGAAAAGGGGACUUGAAGUAAGGGGAUAAAUUUUUCAGGGUAUGGAAAAACACAUUUAAGUUAAAAUUAUUGAGUUUCUAUUUUUGAUGAAAAUCA
rnacentral:lncRNA from 1 species